GACGAACGCUGGCGGCGCGCUUAACACAUGCAAGUCGAGCGAGAACCAGGACUUCGGUCCUGGGGACAGCGGCGAACGGGUGAGUAUCACGUGGAUAACCUGCCCUCGGCACCGGGAUAGCCCGGGGAAACCCGGAUUAAUACCGGAUGGCCCUUCCGGCUCACGAGCCGGUCGGAAAAGGUAGCUUCGGCCUCCGGCCGAGGAUGGGUCCGCGGCGGAUUAGCUUGUUGGUGGGGUAAUGGCCUACCAAGGCUCCGAUCCGUAGCUGGUCUGAGAGGACGAUCAGCCACACUGGGACUGAGACACGGCCCAGACUCCUACGGGAGGCAGCAGUGGGGAAUCUUGCGCAAUGGGCGAAAGCCUGACGCAGCGACGCCGCGUGAGGGAGGAAGGCCUUCGGGUUGUAAACCUCUUUCAGGAGGGACGAAGCUACUCGGGUGAAUAGCCCAGAGGGUGACGGUACCUCCAGAAGAAGCCCCGGCUAACUACGUGCCAGCAGCCGCCGUAAUAC
rnacentral:rRNA from 1 species